rnacentral:rRNA from 1 species
UCAGGCCUACGGGGGGCAGCAGUGGGGAAUAUUGCACAAUGGGGGAAACCCUGAUGCAGCGACGCCGCGUGAGUGAAGAAGUAUUUCGGUAUGUAAAGCUCUAUCAGCAGGGAAGAAAAUGACGGUACCUGACUAAGAAGCCCCGGCUAACUACGUGCCAGCAGCCGCGGUAAUACGUAGGGGGCAAGCGUUAUCCGGAUUUACUGGGUGUAAAGGGAGCGUAGACGGUAGAGCAAGUCUGA